CAGGCUUGAGCCACCGCGCCCGGCCACCCACACACAUUUUUAUAUUCUUUUGGCAAAAUCCAUUUCCUUGCAAGGUAGUAUAUAAUUUGAAUUUUAUAAAUCAAAUUUUGUUGCACAUGCCCUAAGCAUGAACAAGCAAAGCUAUAACAAUAAAAUCUUAUUUUAAAUUCUUUUGUGAAAUGAAUACUUAGAGAUCAAUGUUAAACCUUAAUUUUAAAAUGAAAGCCAUAGUCAAAAAGAUAUUUCAAAUGCUAGGUAUUAUAAAGAAUAAGCAAAGUUUUGUGUGUGUGUAUGUGUUUUUUUCCAGCAACUAGGCCUUAUAGGUGUAUUGUACACAUAGCUGGCUUUUGAAUAAACAAGAACAUUUAUUUUGACAGAUACAGCAGUUUUUUUCUAUACUUCUUCCAGGAUUUUACAUCAACCAGGGCUACUAAAUAAGUAAAAUAUAAAACCUCUAUCCCUUGAGUAGCUUCUCAUUUAUGGAGAUAGAGAAGACCUAUAGACAAAAGUGUUUGGGAUCUAGGUAUUACAUACUAAAGUGUUGAAUUAUGCUGAAUCAACAAAUGAGAAGUACAUAAGAAGCUAACCAUCACAAAAGCAAUACUUAGAAGAGGAGUAUUAGAAAAAGGAGACCAUUACGAACUAAUAUCAUGAGGAAAAGCUACAGGGAGGAAGCUGAACUUAAACUUUGCCUAGAAAUAUAGUUGGUCCUCUCUCUCUGUUGGUCCCAUAUCCAUGGAUUCAAGCAGCUAUAGAU